GCUUGAAAGGAAGAAAAGACUAGAUGUCAUUGUAGAUCGCAACCUAAAUCGGAACUAUGACAUCCAAGAAGUGGAGAUGAUGAUCCAAGUUGCAUUGCUCUGUACACAACCAUCACCAGGCGAUCGUCCAGCAAUGUCAGAGGUGGUUCGGAUGCUAGAAGGAGAGGGCAGCGCUGAGAGAUGGGAAGAAUGGCAGCAUGUGGAAGUUAGUCGUCGACAGGAGUAUGAGCGGCUGCAAAGAAGAUUUGACUGUGGGGAAGAUUCACUCUAUCACCAUGAUGCUAUUGAAUUGUCUGGUGGAAGAUGAGUUUUCUUGUUCAACCCCACAAAUUGGCAGCUGAGAGACAUUGAAAGCAACCACUGCUUCACCUACCAUUUUUCUAAAAUUGCCUUGUCUAAUACCAUUGCUUUCAGCUCCUAUCUCUUGGUCUUUGCUCGGCUAGAAGAUACAUUCUGUGGUAUCUUCUGCAGGUCUCUAUGCGCCACCUCUUCAAGGUUGAUGCCACACUUGAUGUAGUUGUCUGAACUCAAUUUGUCUAUUUCUAUCACUAUUUGGAAGAUUUCUCAGAUGUGGUUCCAAAUGGUCUGAAUUUCUAUUGUAAUUUCUGAGCCAUGACUCCAGUGGGCUAUGGCGUUUCUUGAAUUUCUCUCCAGUUAUGUUAUGCUGCUGAGAACCCAGUAGUUCCAUUUAUCUACCACAUGUCCUCUGAUGAUUGAUACAUUUGAUAUGAUAUAAAUUAAUAUUGGAAUUAAAGCGUGUUUGAUAGUAUUUAUAUUCGAA